rfam:Loxodonta africana unplaced genomic scaffold scaffold_74, whole genome shotgun sequence.
GGAGUGGUGGUUCAGUGGUAGAAUUCUCGCCUUCCAUGUGGAGACCCGGGUUCCAUUCCCGGCCAAUGCA